GAGGCCAGUACACUGGAGGGUGCGCUCUGCCUGUGCAAGCCCAGGUAACACCGCAUACCUCUGGCUCUGGGAGUACAGCUGUGGGGGCUGGUGUGUGUGCAUGGUGGUGGGAAGUCUGGCUGGAGGAAGUGUGUGGACCAGCAUAAAGUGCAGCGAGAGUUUAUUUUGCCCCAAACCAGUGGUCACUGAUACAUACAUUACUCUAGGUCUUACUGAAGCCAGUUUUUGAUGCAUUUGGGAUCUGAAACACUAGGUUAUUUGUGGCUUGUUGUUUUUUUCAGUACGAGGGAUUGAACCAGGACUUUUGCAGCCCAUUUUUGGUAUUUCUCAUUUUCCGACAGGGUCUCCCUAAUUGCUAAACUGCCCAGGACGGGCUUGAACUAUUGAUCCUUUGGCCUCAGCCUCCUGGAGUGCAGGGAUUACAGGCAGGCACCACUCUCUGGGGCUCCAGCUUGGGUUUAACAAACAAUCCUUCUACUGUCAUAGCUUUUGGACAGAGAUUCUGAUGAACUACUGUGGAGUGCUUCCUGCGAGCACUCUGCAGGUACAAGGCAGGGAUGCUUAGACAGCAGACCUAUGCGAGACUUUGCUCUGACCGGUUUCGCUUCUUCACCUGUACAGACAACUGGUUGCCCGAAGCCUGGCAGUGUGGCUUGCUCUAGGUCACUCAGACGUACACCAGACAACCUUGGCCCCUUGAAAGUGGCAGUGCUGCAGCACACACACACACACACACACACACACACACACACGGGAAGACAGCUUCUCUCUCUUCCUUGGGUGGGUGGGUGCAGGUCCUCUAACAGCCCAUGCUGAGGUUCUAGCCCCCAGUCCCAGAACCCAGCCCAGCAGAAGAGGCCAGCCUCCGUCUCCCUGCAGAUCUCAGGGAACCACACUGCUACUAUUGUGGCAGGCCUGGCUGCAGAGGAAAUAAGGGGACCAAGCAAGGAAGACUCAUCCACAGUGGCUCUCAGAGCUGUGCCCUGUAAAGCUCCCUACCCCCAGCCAUGGGUACCCCCUGAGGGAAGGGAAAUGAUGCUCAAGAUGCCCAGAGCUACCCGACACUAUGGGAACAGCUCUUGGAGUAGCCCAGCGGGUCUCCAGGACUAAGCUAUCCUCCCUGACUGCCUCUGAAGGUUUUAGAGAGUAAAAAUCAGCCACACCCGGCUCCUGAAUUCUGCUUAUUCAAGUAAGAGAGUUCCGCAGGCCUGGCUUCCUCCUCCCUCCCACCUGCGCCUGACUCUCCAGGCUGGAGUUGGGAGUUCUAACCACAUCUCCCUCUUCUAUUCUUCUCUUGCCAGGCUGGACAAAGGCCCCUCUCGACACACCCCUGGCCUUCUGUCCUAUUUAUCCCUUCCAACAAUUCUCUUUUAAAACACAUUUUCACAUUGCUUCUUUUUAAGUCUUUUGAUUAAAAGAAAAAAAAAAAAACCCCACAGUUCUCAGAUAAAAGCACACAAACCAGUCACUAGCACCCAAGGACUGCCCUGCUUUAAGAAUUUAAGUUGUGCUUGAAUACAGCAUUAUCUACUUCACACGCUCAGGCUGCCCACAGGGUCGGGCUACGUUCUGUAGGAGAGAUAGGAGAUCUGGCUGGAAUUCCACAAGAAAUGUACCACGUGGGGGAAAUCCACGCAGCUUGGGCCUUGGCUGGUCACAUUUCUGAGCCAAUGCUUUGCUAAAGGGUAUCUUGGUAUCUUCUUUUAAGAAUAAACAAUCCCAAUACUCAGUGCCUUUUCUGAACCCCAAUGCUUUGAAAGAAUUUGACUGUUUGCAAAUUCAAAGUUGGAAAUGAAAUCCUCACAAGUAAGACCUGAAUCCAUUUAUUCAUGGUAAAAUGAGUAUGGCUUUGAAGAGUCUGUCCUCAUUAGGAUCAUCCAAAAGUAAUCUGUGAUCUGGGGUGAGAUUGCCUAACGAACCUGCCAGGGAAGGAGACCUGUUUUCUAACAGGAACUCUGCCUUCAAAGAACUCAGCAAAUGCCAUAAAGGCAACUGCAGUGUAUUUCUUCUUUAAGAAUGUUUCAUUUGGUUUCUUAAUCAGUGUAAUUUUUCUCUUGCACAGUUUAGGGUACUUCCUUCUUCUCCCCUAAAAUAUAUUAAAAUAAACCUUGGACUCUGAUGAAGGCAUAGAAUCCUCCCCGUACACACAGGAAUGUCCAUUCCUCCAGGCUUGGGAGGUUUCCUUAGCUAAUGAACUAGAACACUGUCACAUGUCUGCUUGCCAAGUAAUAUAUUAAAGUGCUUUUCUAAUGAGAUCUCUGCAAGGUAGCCAUUAAACAGCACACUAAGCUUCAGUGAAGCAAAUGAAGUUUUAAAAAAUAACCAAAUGCCUCUAAAGGAGACACGAGGUCAAUGUGGCAGCUAAAAAACCUGACAAGCACAAAAAUAAAAGUGCAAAUAAUUUUCACAUCUGAAAAACGUGGCAGAUACUAGGCAGAGUAGUGCAGCAGGCAGGUCAUAAAGAUGCCACCUGUGUGUCCCAGGAUGGGACUUUAGACACCUCCCUUUCCACUCGUGUUUGUCUGGAACACACACCUGCUGCAUAUGGAUCUCCAAAUGGGUCGUAUCUUAAAAACCUGGAACAUCCCUUCAAUUUUAGAAUUUUAAUCUGAGAAUUCAGGAAUGUUAUGAAAAAAUUCUCAAUACCAAGCAUCCUUUUGCCAGUGUGGGCUGCUAUAACAAAUGUCAUAGUUUGGGAUGGCUUAAACAGACGGAUUUGUCUCUCAUAGCCCUGGAGGCUGGAACUCCAGGACCAGGGUGCCAGCAUGGGAUGUGGAUGGCUACUUUAUUGCUGCAUUCCUGUAUGGUACAGAGGCAGCAUCCCUUCUCUUUCUUCUUGUCAGGCCACUAAUCCUAUCUAUGAGGGCUCGCUCCUUAUGAUUAAAUCACAUCUCAAAGGCCCUAUACGCAAAUAUCUCACUAGCCCUGAGAACCGGGGUGUGAAUAUAGCAAAUUUGUUUGUUUUUAAAAAUGGAUGAAAUGUUAUAUACAUAAUUAUCAGAUAGUUUCACUAGAGGGCAGAUUUGACAUGAGAUAUAUUCUAUUUAUGAGGGUUUACCAGGUAGGCUUGCACUGGCCACCUGCAGUGUCACGUGUGGAAGCUGCCAUCCAGGCAAAGGUAGAGGGCCUGGGGUUCACAGGAUGUAGAAACUCUGCAGAACCCUAAUGGCAUGGAUGCAUCUCUUAGGACCAGUAAAAUGAGGAGUUCUGACUUGAAAUAAAAACAGUAACAAUGCCAUGAAGUCUGUGCCUCGGACCUCGCUAACAGAGUUCUGGAGUUCUUCCCAUGGCUCCUACUUGUUCCUCUGCCUUCAUUAUUUAACUGCAGAACCCCUUAGCAUAAGGGAGGUCCUUUUAACCAUUUUGUGUUUCUAGAGGUUGAACUCGGGCCAUCACACAUGCCAGGUAAGCACUUUCCUGCUGAGCUAUGUCGUUAGCCCUGCAGAGGCUGAGAAGCCUGAACCUUAGGUUUGUGUUACUGGGCGCAGAUGGCUCCAGGGUGUGGGGUACUGGUCUGAUCAGCCUUGCGGCAUGGGACUCAGUAAAGCAUGGCAUUGGGUCUGAAAACCAACACUGAAGACUUAAGGAAGGGCGGGCUAGGGCAGGCAAACACCUGUUAACUAUCUUCUCUCUCUGAAAUGAUGUCACAUCUUGGAUGAGAAGUCUUGAUCUUAGUUACUCCAGAGGGAGGUACCAUUAUCAUAGAAUGACUGCACUUUAAGAUCAAGAUAACAAAGCAUUGGGGCUGGGGAUUUAGCUCAGCGGCAUAAGCGCCUGCCUUGCAAGCAGGCAGUCGUGAGUUCGAUCCCCGGUACCGAUAAAAAGGAAAAAGACAAAAAAAAAAAAAAAAAAAAAAAAAAAAAAAAAAAAAGAUAACAAAGCAUCAGUAGUUAAAGAUAGCCAAAAAUAAACCAAUUUUUAAAAGAUACAAUUGUGUGUUAUGAAUGAUAGCCAAGAGUGACCAGGGACUUAUCCUUCAUUUUAUUUACAAAUUUAAUCUAAUUGAAAAUUUUUUUUCUUUUUGAGACAAGGUCUCAGUGUGCAGUUCAGGCUGGCCUUGAGCUCACUUUGUAGGCCAGGCUGGUCUUGAACUUGCAAUGAUUCUCCUGCCUCAGCCUCCCAAGUGCUGAGAUUACAGAAGGAUUUUCUUUUAUUACUUAAUAUGAUCAUUUUUAAAAACAGAAAAUCUUCUAUGUAUUGGGAAAUGAUUUAUUCAAGAUCAACAGGGUUAAAGUAAUUUUCAAAAUAUGGUGCUCUGGAUUUAAAUGAAAGAAACAAAGCAGAAUAAAUCAUGUAACAGAAAUAUUAUAUAUUUGCUUCUAUAAAGCCAAAGAACACAUUAAAACAGUCUUCCUUUUGUACACAUUCAUCAAGGGAAAGACACUUGAUCUUAGCCAAAAGGCCAAGAAGCAACUGGAUACACUGUAAAGUCGAAUAAUUGACAGAACAAUUAUUCUGCUGCUCCAGAUCCAAUAGAAAUGCUGGCGUGCAGCUUUCAACUGAAUUCUGUCUCCAGGAAUACAAUGGAAAGUGAAAUGCACAGGGAAAGGAGCUGUUGUGUGGUUAACGUCAUUUCUGGAUUCACCCAGGUUCAGACCUGGGUGAGCCUGGGAAAGGUACUGAGCCUCCACCUACCCAUCUGUAAGAUGCGAAGGCUAGCUGCACAUGGAGCUGUGGGAUUCCUGUGACACAUGUCACCUGGCACACAGUGAGCAUUCAAUAAUGGCAGCUGUUAUUUAUGAUUUUGAAGCAAUGAUUUUCAAAUGCUAUAGGAUUUGUUUUUCUGGUUGUGGAGGAAGUUGGACUACAUGAUGUUCACGAUUCUUUUCCACCACAUAUGCUGCUAUCCUGUUUCGUGUCAGUUUUUCCCCUUAACCAACUUCUGCUCCAACCCCCACCAGAGCUAAUAUAAUCAAAAGAGCAGCAAUGUGUUUGCUGACUGCACUGUGGCAUUUACCUGUGAGACCCUUUUAACAUGCCUGGGGGGAGUAGCUAAUGCAGUUCCCCAUUUUACAGAGAAGAAAACUGAGGCACAGAAAGAUCAAGUAACUUGCUGACACUCACAAGGCUCAUACAAGGCAGCUCUGGGACAAAAAAAAAAAAAAAAAAAUCAAACAGUACUAGAACCAGGCCUCCAGCUGCUGUGCCACGUAGGUAACCUAAAAUUAUGCUUCAACAAAUUUAUUAGCCAGGAUACAAGGAAAGUGCUCACUGCUGAUGGGAAAAUGGUAAAAUCCAGUGUUGGCUUUUCAUUUCUUAGCCUUCAGCACAGUUUCUGGAGCUCUAAAUGCUAAUGAUUGGUUUCUGUUUGUCCCCUUUCACAAGACACCCUUAUCCUGCACGGGCCAGUGAUAUAAAUCUAGAAUUUUCCUGCAGAUGUGAAAAGCUAGCUUUACUACACCGUCCUAACCCAUGUCCAGGGAGGGCUGGCCAGCCCGGGACCAACACAGCCCUCGGCACUGGUGGGCACCUCAGAGGCACACCUGGAUGAUAACCAGGAGGCUUCUCUGACAUCGGGAAGUCCCCAGUCACACUGUUAGGGCCUGAGAGGUCCAGCCCCACCCAUAUUUGCAACCUAGGAGCCAGCUUGGGGUCACUGGCUCCCUGCCACAACUCAGUGCCUGCUGCUGUAGGUGCUUCUUUCUCUGGGUCCUGGACACAGCUCUCCAGAGCGAAGGUGACUUUUGUUGUGUGGACUAAGUGAGGCGCUGUCUAAACACGUGAGUGCAUUUGUUCCAUCCACAGAAGCAGCAUGUGUCUGCUCAGCUCGGCUCCAGAGUAUUCUACUUUGCUGGCUUGUUGAACAGCAUCAUUUCUUCAAGCAGGUUUAUACUGUCCUGUGAUUUCUUUAAACAAAUUUCAGGUGAUUCAUUGCAUUUUGUGUUGCUAAAAUUUUCCAUGUACUGUACUUCAUUAGCAAGAGCCAUUUCUCCCCCACUUUUCAACACUGCUUGAUGAGAUGCAAAUAGAACCCUUUUGGUUUUCCAGUUGAACAGCCAUGAAAAAAGAAUAAUAAUAAAAAAGAGCAGUGCUUUGCUUAUCUCCAUGUUACACAUUAACACGGCCCUCUUUUACAGAGCUUCUUCAAGGUAGGUGCACUUUCAAAAGUCAAAUAACUGACAGAAUAAUUACCCUGACACUCCAAGGCUAGUGCAAAUGUUGGGGUGUGGCGUUCUGAUGAGUUCUGAAGCUUCAGUCUUUAGAACUGCACCAGAAUAUAAAUGCAAAGGGAAGGGAAUUUCCCAAUUUCUCCAAAGAGAUAUAAUUUUUAAAAAUAAUGCAGCACAAGGAAGGAAAGCUCGCAAGUUAAACUAUGUAAAAUCUUCCUAGCUGUCUCCUGCAGCACUUCCUACCACUCUCAUGCUGUUAUUUUCUUUAAUAAUAAUAAGUAUUACCACUAAUACUGCUUCACCACCAUUUACUGAGCUUACUGUAUGCCAGGCCCAGGGCAGGCUCUUCCGUACAAUAUAUCUCAGAGAACUCUCAUGAGAAUCCCAUGAGUGUCUGUGCUUAUUACCCUAGCAAACAGCCGGGGAAGGAGAGGCUCUGAGAAGUUAAAUCACUUGGGUAGUUACAGAGCUCAGCAGAAGCAGGGCCAGGAUUCCAGGGCAGGUCUGACCCACAACCCCCACCUCCCGUAUAGUUCCCACAGUUUUCUCCCUAAGCUUUUGACACAGGCCUUCCCACUCUCUUAGAGCUAACUAUGGGGCCUGGUGGUCACAAGAAUGAAAGACCCAACACACAAAUGACUGUACUCUCUCAAUUUUCGGUUUGCAAAUGAACAUACGUUGGUUGCAAAAGCACCCGAUACUGUACUUUGGAUCUCAAGUGUGCCCCAAAGGUUAAAUCCCUGGUCUCCAGCUCAUGGUACAGUUGGCAGGCUGUGGAAACCUGAAGAAGCUGGACCCAGAAAAGCUCUUCCAGUUACUGAGCCUGUGCCCCUGGGGGGCACAAUGGGACCCCAGUCCCUUCCAGUCCUGUUCCCUUUUUUGCAUCCCAGCCACGAGGUGAGUAGUUCUGCUGCCACACAUCCUCCCCACCAUGUUGUGCUGCUGCCACAUACGCUGGAAAGCAACUGGGUCAGUCGACCAUGGACUGAACCCUCUAAAACUGUGAGCCAGCAGGCUUUUCUCUGUAUCUAUGGAUGACCUCAGACAUUGCUGACAGUGAUGGAAAGCUACCACAAAUGUCAAAACUUUAGUACAGGAUUACUUGUAAUUUCACAGUGAGUUAUUUUCUCCCACCUAAGGGUAAAGGAGGGGAACUGACACUCCCUGUGGUUUCCACCCACGUUGGUCCUGACUGCUCCAGGCUGCACGGCAGUGGCCAAAAACAACGCAAGUGGACAUACUAAAGAGUUUGAAUAUGUUUAGAGUUUAGAUACAUGAAGAUUAUACUAGUGUGUAUCAAAAUCAUAUCUUCCAAUCCUGAGCCCCUUCCUGCCAGUUAAAGCUUUCUGAGUAAUAUUUAUUUUUCUUAUAUUUUUACUUAAUCUCGACCAGAGGCGAUCCAGUCCUAUCUACCUCCCUUCCGCCAACAUACACCAAGAAACCUGAAGACAAAUAAAGUGAAGGAAGUGCUAAAGGAGGUUAGAUCCGCAGCAGCAAAGAAGUAUUUUUGGUUACAAAAUGACUGUUGCAUUCAUUCUCCCUGCCAAGGGAUGUCGACGCCAGUGCCCACCAUUCAGUUCCCACCCGUACCCUGCCAGUGUUCUCAGAAGCGCCUGAGAGGGCUGAGGAUGCUCACAUGCCAUCUGGCCCACCUCAUCUUGCCUCUUCUGGAAGUCAACACCCAUUUCCUCUGCAAAACGUCCGCCUUUUGUCAGCACCGGAGGUCAAGAUCCCAAUAGGGGUCCUUCAAGUGGGUCUUGGAGACUUUCUGGAACAUUCCUGGCUGCAGACUGGGGAAUUUUCGCUCAGCAUCCUCCACCUUAGUUUUCAAUGUGCUUGGUCAUCACUCUGGAAUUGCCUGUUUUUCACAGACCUCUUCCUCUUUUUGGCUUACACCCAGCUACGGGCUGUGCAUAUGAAAAGGCUUCCAGGAUAUUACAACUGACUGCUGCUGCCACAAACCUUUAGGGAUUAUGAAGGGAGGAAGCUCAUGUUUAGAUUGAUUCCCUUCUAACCUCUCCCACUCAUACCACAGACUGCAUAUUUUCUCCUCACAAAGGCAAACAUGACUGACCUCUGUUUAAAUGUUUAUUAGAAGCUGUCUGGACUUGCAGUCUCUGAAGUUACAUUCUUUAUUAGUCACGUCCUUCUUGGUGUGUGGUGUGACCCUUCUAGCAGGCCAAGAGGAAUGCUUGGGGCCUGUGAAGAAAUCACUGGGUGCUGGCAGCACCCACCACCACUCAGGUUCGUUAGCCCCAAAUGAGCGAGCAGAAGCUGGGCGAUUAAAGAAUCUGGGUUCCCAGUGGUGGUGGCUUCAGUUUUGAAUGUGCAUGAAAAAGACUUUGGACGGGUGGGAAAAGGCACUGUACACCAGCCGACUGGGCAAAGCCAGCCCAUGUCUGAGAGGACAGGGGCGGGGGGGAAGCAUGGACUGCAGCAGGUUGAGUGGGUUUCGGUCCCAGGCCUCACCCCAUUCUGCUUGGUCCUAAAUUUUUCAUCUUUAAAAUGGGAAGGCUGAAGCAGAAAUCCAGGAGGUCCUUUUGGGGUCAAUAUCUUUUCUGACUAUCAGAAGUGGAAAAAAACAGGCAUACACUUUAGCCUAGGGAAGUCACAGUAAGGAGGGUCUCACUGAGAAGGGCCUGAGCUUGCAAGCACCGCACUAGAAUUUUCCCCGGCACCAGUGUGGAUCCCAAACUGAGAUGGGGCGAGCUCUCCUGGUGCAGUCUCAGAAUGAAAAUACUGUGGGGAAGGGGGCAAACAGAUGUCAGUCGAUGGUGAACUAAAAUAUCACUGCUGAACAUUCUACACCUAUGAGUCACACUGUUUUAAUUCAGUACUUGGUAGUUAAAAGACGAUAAAGAAAAUUCUUUCAUAUGUUUAGUACCAUUUAUCAUGGGAUGUUACGAUACAGUUUUUUUUUCUCUUCAGUACUAUGAACUGAACCCAGGACCUCCACACUGGGCUACAUCCCCAGCACUUUUUUAUUUUAUAUUUUGAGACAGAUCUCACUAAGUCUCUAACUUGCCCAGGAUGGGCUUGAAUUUGUGAUCUUGUCUCAGUCUCCCAGAGUACUGGGAUUAUGGUUGAGUGCCACUUCUGGUAUUAAAAAAAACACACAUACACAUACAAAGUACAUGUUCAUUGUUUUUUUUUUUUUUUUUUGUCUUUUUCAUUUUUAUCAGUGCCAGGGAUCGAACUCAUGACCACACACUUCAAGGCAGGCGCUUAUGCCGCUGAGCUAAAUCCCCAGCCCCAGUACAUGUUCAUUGUAAUAAUUCAAACAAUAUGCAAUUAUGUAAAGAACUACCUACUUUCUUUUUUUUUUUUUUUUAAAUCGGUACCAGGGAUCGAACUCAUGACCAGUACCAGAGAUCAAACUAACGACCAUGUGCUUGCAAGACUGCCAUGAGCUGUUUCUCUUCUGCCAUACCACCCUAUCUUGAGCCAGCUGAUGAUGGACUGAAACCUCUACAAAACGUGAGCCAAAAGAAACCUGUCCUCCUUAGAGCUGUGGCUGUCAAGUGUUGCAUCUCAGCAACGAGAAGGAAACUAAGACAGCCUCUAACUUGUGGUCCUCCUGACUCAGCCUCCUGUGUAGCUGGGAUUACGUGUAUGUACUACCACCCCUAGUUCUUUUAUAUUUUAGGUAAGUGAAGCAAGCAGUCAUAGACUCUGAGGAGGCAAGUAUAUCCCACAAACUGAGACACUCAAGUGCUCAGCCACAAUCUCACUAUUCUGCACAUAGCCAGGUGGACGUACAGCAGCCCUAUCCCAAGGGGAUAUGUUCCAAGGUCCGCAGGAGGUGCCUGAAACCUCAGAGAGGACUGACCUCUACAUGUGUUGCCUUCAUUCUGGUCAUGCAUAUCUGCGAUAGGGGUUAAUUUAUAAGCUAGGCAUUGGAAGAGAAUAACAACUGUUAUAAAAUAGAACAAGUUUCACAAUACACUGUCAUAAAAGUUAGGUAAAAUUUUGUAUUGUUUAUUCCCAGAACUUGCAACUUCGUAUUUUUGAACUGUAGUUGACAAGUGUCUGAAAUCUUGAAAAGUGAAAGAGAAGAUAAAGGAGGACUACUGUGUAUCACAGACUACAUCAACAGAAGAGUAGAGACCCUUUUUCUUUAGUGAAAAAUAUUAAAGACAAGAACUCCAAAUGUCAUGAAGUUUUUACUGUUUAUUUGUCAUGCAAGUAGCUGCCACAUGAAAGACAUUUUCAAAUGCAGGGAUGCAGGUGUUUUUUAGGGACCUCAACUCAACUAGGCACUAUUAUCUUCCUUUUAUAUCAAAAUAUUUGAUUGACCAGCUUUAAUUUUUGGUACCAUUUUUUUUUUAUUGGUACUGGGGAUCGAACUCAUGACCACAUGCUUGCAAGGCAGGUACUUAUGCUGCUAAGCUAAAUCCCCACCCCCGACCAGCUUUAAUUUUAACAAAGAUAUUAUAGCAAGCAGGAGUCCUUUGCUUCUGGUCUUGCUGGAACUUUGUAUGAGAACAGGCUAGAAAAUGCCAGUGCCCGGCAACUGCAGAUGCAGACCAGGCCACUGCCAGGGCCCUGGGAUUUUCGGCCACUAAGUGCAACUUUUGUAAAGAGGAGCUGGGACACAAGUGCAGGUCUCAAAGUCUUUUCUGCAGCCUGAUAAUCACCAAACAGAGCUGAGCACAACAAAAAGUCAUUUGUAUUGUGUACUGGAAUUUGUGCUUUCAACCUUCUGUUCUUAGGGGAAAUUUGUCUAAACUGGGUUAGUUUAAUUUUUUUUAUUAGUCCAUACUAGUUCUGCAGAAACAUGGGUUUUGUUUUGGCACAAACCUUGAUCAUCUUCCCCUCUCCUAGUCUCCUGUUCUCUAAUAGUAUUUUUUAUACUUUCAUGUCACUUUUCUUUUUAAAGCCUUAUCUAGAUUUUUCAUAUGAUAGAAAACAUGAUUUUGUUUCUGGCUUGUUUCUCUUAACAUAAUAUGUUCUCCAGUUCCUUCUAUUUUCUGCAAAUGACAUGACCUCGUUCUUCUUUAUGGCUAACAGUCCACUGUGUAUACAGUAUAUACAUACAUUCUACUCCUGUAGCAUAGCACUAUGAACUGCACUGCAAUAAGCAUAGGUAAGCAGAUGUACACACUAUGCUGACUUUCGUUCUGCUUGGAAUAUACCAAAGAGUGGUAUAGUUGGGUAAAACAAUAGCUGUAUUUUUAAUUUCUUGAGGAACUUCUAUAUUGAUUUCCAACACUGUAUUACUUUAUCUCCCAGCAACAAUGGAGAAGAACCUUUUUCCCUAGAUCUAGAAGAGGCUAAUUUUUCAAUUGGAAUCACCAAUGUCAAUAUGUCUCAAAAAUUUUAAAACCUAUAACCCCAGCUUCUCAAGGGAAAGAGGCAGGAAGUGUGCAAAUCUGAGACCACCUAGUUAACUCAGUGAGUCCUUGUCCCCCUGUUCAAAAAGAGGAAGGCUGGGGAUGUAGCUCAGUGGUACAGUGCUUUCUGACCAUAUGCAUUCCCCUGGGUUCAAAGCUUGUACCAUAAACACAGACACACACACACACACACACACACACACACACACACACACAGAGGGGGAAAAAAAGGAAAGAAAGGUUCAUAUCAUAGAGUCAGCAAUUCCAGUUUGCAACCUAUCCUAAAAGGACAUGCAGACAUCUUUAUGUCUAAUGAUGUGAAUUAAAGGGUUAUUUAUGACAGAAAAACUCAAGUAAAUUAUGGCUUGUUUAAAAGAUUAUGCAGAAUUACAAUGUUUAUAAAAUUUCUAUUUUCUGUUAAGCAAAAUAUUAGUUAUAAAUUGAAAACAAGACAUAAACAUACAUAAAUAGCAUGAUGAAAAUAAUCGUAUCAUAUACGCCUAAAAAGACUAGAAAAAAUAAAUCAAAAUAUGGAGUGGAAUACAAAAAAAUGUUAACAAUGACUGUCUUUGAUUUCCAUGAAUUCAGCAGUGUUAUGGUUUGUGUCUGGAUGUCCCUCCAAAGCCUCAUACGGUCAUGGAGCGGGCUUCUAGCAUCUGUGAUUGACUCAUGGUCCAGUGCUGGGGUUAUGGGCAUGAGUGCUACACCUGCCUGGGGCGGGUAGCCUGCACACAAUGUAAGGGACGGAGGAAGCUUGCUCUUGUGCUCCUCCCUUUUGGCUCUUGUUGCUUUUGCUGUCUUCUCCUGUCAUGAACGGUUGCUCUCUGCCAUGUGCCAUUUUGCCUUGGAGCCAGCUGGUUAUGGACUGAAACCUCUACAAACUGAGCUAAAUAAGACUUUCCUUCCUUCAUGUUGGGUGUCAGGUAUUUUGUCUCAGUCAUAAGAGAAAGCAACCAGCACAAACAGAUUUCUAUAAUGUUAGUUUUUAAUAACAAGAAAGAACUUCAGUGAACAUGAAAUUAAAUUAGCUUAUACUCCCAGGACACGCAUACAAGGCAGCUGAAAUCAAAUUAGGAUGUAAGUCUAGAACCUAAAAUCCAUUGUGCUCUGAGAAAAAAGUGAAACAUCUGACAAUGAACUGCUGAAGAUGGUGCUUUUAUUAUCUGAACAAGUCAUAGCACCUACUGGUAUUUUAAACUGUGCUUUUUCCUUUUGUCAGGAACUACGUAGAGUGAUGUGAGUUUACCGUUUAUUUUUCCCUUAGCAUUUGCCAAGGUUAUAAAACACAAUCUUAAAAUAAACACAAUCUUAAAAUA